UUCCUGAUGCCACAGAUACAGAGACAUAUGGGGUGGCCUGGCUGCCCUACCACCCACUCAGCUUCUCUCCAGUCUUGGCCUGGCCAGGUGAGGCGGGCACUGGGCUGGAGGGGGUGCCCUGGAGCCUGGACCCUAUGUUUCCUUGCAGAGGAAAAUGAUGGGACUGGUGAUGACCACAGAGUGAGGGCCCCAGCUAUGUCUCUGAUCACCAAGCACUGAGCUGGCCUAGUCUUGCCUAUCGAGAUGAUCUUGUGGUUUUUGACUUCUCUUUUGUGUAUGACGUUGACUGAUUUGCGUAUGUUGAACCAUCCUUGCGAACCUGGGAUGAAUCCCUACCUGGUCACGGUGUACAAUCUUUUCGAUAUGUUGUUGGAUUCGGUUGGCUAAAAUUUUGUUGAGAAUUUUUGCGUCUACAUUCAUCAAAGAUAUUGGCUGCUAGUUUUCUUUUUUGAUGGUAUCUUUGUCUGGUUUUGGAAUUAGGGUGAUGGUGGCAUCAUAGAAUGUCUUUGGGAGUGUUCCUUCUUCCUCAACCUUUUGAAAAAGUUUAAGGAGGAUGGGCAUCAGAUCCUCUUUGUACAUUUGGUAGAAUUCGCCUGUGAAGCCAUCCUGGGCUUUUAUUUGUAGGGAGUGUUUUUAUGACAUGUUCAAUUUCAUUUCUAGUGAUCGGUCUGUUCAGUUGGUCUGUUUCUUCUUGAUUCAGUUUUCGUAGGCAGUAAGAGUCUAGAAAGUUGUCCGUUUCUUCCAGAUUGUCAAAUUUGUUGGCAUACAGUUGUUCAUAGUAUUCUCUUAUGGUUUUUUGUAUUUCUGCAGUAUCUGUUGUGAUUUCUCCAUUUUCAUUUCGAAUUAUGUUUAUUUGGGUUCUUUCUCUCCUCUUCUUAGUGAGUCUAGCCAGGGGUUUGUCAAUUUUGUUUACCUUUUCAAAGAACCAGCUCUUGGUUUUAUUCAUUUUCUCUAUUGUUUUUUGAAUCUCUCUUUUAUUGAUUUCCUCUUUGAUCUUUAUAAUUUUCUUCCUUCUGCUGACUUUAGGUCUUUUUUGUUCUUCUUUUUCUAAUUCAUUUAGGUGGUGGGUUAAGUUGUCAAUUUGAGAUCUUUCUUCUUUUUUGAGGAAGGCCCAUUUUGCUAUGAAUUUCCCUCUGAGCACUGCUUUUGCGGCAUCCCAUAGAUUUUGAGCAGUUGUGCCUUCAUUAUUGUUUGUCUCGAGGUAUUUUUUAAUUUCCUUCUUGAUUUCCUCAUUGACCCGUUGUUUAGUCUCCAUGUAGUAGGUUUUUUUUCUCAUUUCUUUUCCUGUGGUUGAUUUCUAGUUUCAUGCCAUUGUGGUCAGAGAAGAUACUUGAAAUAAUUUCUAUGUGCCUAAAUUUGUUUGCAUCUUUAUUCACUGUAGCCAAGAGAUGCAGGCAACUCAAGGGUUCACAGCAGCCGAAGGAUAAACAAAAUGUGACAGAGCCAUGCAAUGGAAUAUUAUUCAGCCUUAAAAAGGAAGGAAAAUCAGACACAAGCUACAACCUGGAUGAACCUUGAGGGCAUGAUACUCAGUGAAAUAAGGCUAUCACAAAGGACAGGUCCUGUGUGGUUCCACCUACACCAGGAUCUCAAGCAUGCAAACACCAUAGGCAGAGAACGCUGGGUGGUGGCUGGCGGGAGCUGGGGGGAGGGGCUUGGGAGCCGUUUAAUGGACACAGAGUUUCAGUUUUACAGGAUGGCAAAGUUCGGGAGGUCUGUGGCCAACAAUGAGAUAUACCUAACACUACUGAUCUGGACAUGUAAUAAUGGCUAAGACGGUAAUUUUUAUGGUGUGCUUUUUACCACAAUUAAGAAAUUUCAGGAGUUCCCAUCACGGCUCAUUGGUUAACCAAUCCGACUAGGAACCAUGAGGGUUGCAGGUUCAAUCCCUGGCCUCGCUCAGUGGGUUAAGGACACGGCGUUGCCAUGAGCUGUGGUUUAGGUGGCAGACGUGGCUCGGAUCUAGCGCUGCCGUGGCUGUGGCGUGGGCCAGCAGCUCCAGCUCCAGUUGGACCCCUAGCCUGGGACCCUCCAUAUGCCGUGGGUGUGGCCCUAAAAGGGCAAAAGACAAAAAAAAAAAAAAGAAAAAGAAAUUCUGGAGUUCCUGUUGUGGUGCAGAAAUGAAUCCGACUGGUAUCCAUGAGGAUUCGGGUUUGAUCCCUGGCCUUGCUCAGUGGGUCGGAGACCCGGCGUUACCCUGUGCUAUAGUUUAGUUCGCAGACACGGCCAGGAUCCUGGGUUGCUGUGGCUGUGGUGUAGGCUGGCAGCUAAAGCUCCAAUUCAACCCCUAGCCUGGGAACCUCCAUAUGCCUCGGGUGCACCCCCCUAAAAAAAGCAGGAGUUCCCUUCGUGGUUCAGCAGUUAACGAAUCCGACUAGCAUCCAUGAGGAUGUGGGUUCGAUGACUGGCCUCGAUCAGUGGGUUAAGGACCCAGCGUUGCUGUGACUGUGGUGUAGGUGGGCAGCUGCAGCUCCCAUUCAACCCCUAGCCUGGGAACCUCCAUAUGCCACGGGUGUGGCCCUAAAAA